rnacentral:rRNA from 1 species
GGUUGCGAUCAUACCAGCACUAAUGCACCGGAUCCCAUCAGAACUCCGAAGUUAAGCGUGCUUGGGCGGGAGUAGUACUAGGAUGGGUGAUCCCCUGGGAAGUCCUCGUGUUGCAACCCC